rnacentral:rRNA from 1 species
UGGCGACCGGCGCACGGGUGAGUAACACGUAUCCAACCUGCCUAUUACCACGGUAUAACCCGAUGAAAGUCGGCCUAAUCCCGUAUGUAGUCUUCCAAUGGCAUCAGCAGUAGACGAAAGGUUUAGCGGUAAUGGAUGGGGAUGCGUCCGAUUAGCUAGUCGGUGAGGUAACGGCUCACCGAGGCAACGAUCGGUAGGGGUUCUGAGAGGAAGGUCCCCCACACUGGAACUGAGACACGGUCCAGACUCC